UGACGCCUUACUAUACUAUGACAUUUUUUGACCAUUUUUGACACCAUACUAUACUAUGACAUUUUUAUGACAUUUUUGACACCUUUCUACACUAUGACAUUUUUAUGACAUUUUUGAUGCCUUACUAUACUAUGAUAUUUUUUGACCAUUUUUCACAACAUACUAAACUAUGACAUUUAACCACUUUUCUUAUCCUCUUCAGGUGAUGCGGUCUCCUCCUCCAGCUGAGACGGAGCAUGUUCAUCACAGAUACUGUCCAAAGCUUCAAGUCCUGCAACUUUAUUACAAAUAUAUAUGAAGAAGGAAAAGACAGCUCUCACAUGUGAUGCGGUCUCUUCCUUCUGCAGAGAUGGAGCAUGUUCAUCACAGAAACUGCCUAAAGCUUCAAGUUCUGCAAUUUUAUUACAGAAAGACACCUCUUACAGUUUGUCAUCUUCUGACAGUGACCACACAGUAUACAAUGACAUUUUUGACACCUAUGAUAUUUUUUUAUGCCUUAAUAUACUAUGACAUUUUGCACUGUUUUUGACGCCUCACUCUACUAUAACAUGCAGCAUAAGCCAAAAAAUAUUUCAAAGCAGUCGUCUUACCUUUGAUAUUCACAGACUCACACGUCUACACAGUGUUUGUGGGUUAGGUUAGAUUUUGUGUUUGUAAUUUCAUUUUGGUAUUUUGCCAUUUCAGUGUAAUAUGUGUACAUAGUUCUGUUUAUACUGUUCAUACUGUUUAUAAUGUUUGUAUAUUGUUAUAUAUUGUUUUUUAUCUUGUCUUGUUUAUAUCAUGCCUUUUUCUAUUUUUGCUAUUACAACGCUGAAUUUUCCCACUGGGGGACUAAUUGUUUUACUUAAAUAAAUAUUUCUGAACACUGAA